UACGGAGGGUGCAAGCGUUAAUCGGAAUUACUGGGCGUAAAGCGCGCGUAGGCGGAUUGUUAAGUUGGAUGUGAAAGCUCGGGGCUCAACCUGAGAACUGCAUUCAAAACUGGAAAGCUAGAGUACGGUAGAGGGUGGUGGAAUUUGCUGUGUAGCGGUGAAAUGCGUAGAUAUAGGAAGGAACACCAGUGGCGAAGGCGACCACCUGGACUGAUACUGACACUGAGGUGCGAAAGCGUGGGGAGCAAACAGG
rnacentral:misc_RNA from 1 species